GCGGGUAUGGUCUAGCGGUAUGACGCGACCUUGCCAAGGUCGAAGUACGAGUCCGACUCUCGUUACCCGCUCAA
rnacentral:tRNA from 2 species